rnacentral:rRNA from 1 species
AUUGAACGCUGGCGGCAGGCCUAACACAUGCAAGUCGAACGAGUGGCGGACGGGUGAGUAAUGUCUGGGAAACUGCCCGAUGGAGGGGGAUAACUACUGGAAACGGUAGCUAAUACCGCAUCCCAUCGGAUGUGCCCAGAUGGGAUUAGCGAGUAGGUGGGGUAAUGGCUCACCAAGGCGACGAUCCCUAGGUGGUCUGAGAGGAUGACCAGCCACCUUGGAACUGAGACACUGUCCAGACUCCUACGGUAGGCAGCAGUGGGGAAUAUUGCACAAUUGGCGCAAGCCUAAUGCAGCCAUGCCGCGUGGAUGAAGAAGGCCUUCGGGUUGUAAAGUACUUUCAGCGGGGAGGCGUUACCCGCAGAAGAAGCACCGGCUAACUCCGUGCCAGCAGCCGCGGUAAUUC